CCGACAUUCGGAUAGAUCAAAGAGUCGUAAUCACAACACUCAAAAUCUACAUGAAUAUGGUUAUUGUAUAAUUCAUCCUUUCGACCCCUGUGUUUAGGAUGACUCAGGGUUAAACUGUCAACCCUGAUCAGAUCAUCCGAAUCGUGCUCAACUCAAACAGUCCUGUGACUCCUCACAAGGACUACCCUAGCCAUGGUUUUGCUAAAUUGAAACACGACUGUACACAGCUCCUAAACUGGAGUGGUCAAUCCCAUCUUGACAAACGCACCGACAAGUCAAGUACUUGACUACACCCAGCAGCCUUCCGUCACUGAAUUAAAAAUUCAGGUAGUCCAGUGCCUAAGUGCAGUGAGUUGCUUGCUAGUCACCGUGGUGGUC
rnacentral:lncRNA from 1 species